rnacentral:rRNA from 1 species
UACGUAGGGGGCAAGCGUUGUCCGGAUUUAUUGGGCGUAAAGAGCGUGUAGGCGGCCUGGAAGGUCAGCUGUGAAAACUCGAGGCUUAACCUCGAGACGUCGGUGGAAACUGCCUGGCUAGAGUCCGGAAGAGGAGAGUGGAAUUCCAGGUGUAGCGGUGAAAUGCGUAGAUAUCUGGAGGAACACCGGUGGCGAAGGCGGCAUCCUGGACCGACACUGACGCUGAGGAGCGAAAGCCAGGGGAGCAAACGGG